UACGAAGGGGGCUAGCGUUGCUCGGAAUCACUGGGCGUAAAGCGCGCGUAGGCGGACCUGCAAGUCGGGGGUGAAAGCCCGAGGCUCAACCUCGGAACUGCCUUCGAUACUGCGGGUCUCGAGUCCGGGAGAGGUGAGUGGAAUUCCUAGUGUAGAGGUGAAAUUCGUAGAUAUUAGGAAGAACACCAGUGGCGAAGGCGGCUCACUGGCCCGGUACUGACGCUGAGGCGCGAA
rnacentral:rRNA from 1 species